rnacentral:lncRNA from 1 species
UCUUUUUUGUUGCAAACUUGUACUUCAAGCAAUUUCUGUUGCAAACUUUUUCUGAAAAAGUAGUGUCCAACUACAUUUGUAUCAGAGAAUGUUUGUUGUGCAACUCGUGUACAUUUCUUUUCUGUUUAGGGUCGUACAUUUUUAAAGCAUCAAAUAGCCCUUUGAUGUUUUAAUAUAACUGUUGAUAAAAGAAAACCUUAUCAUGUUUUCAUGAAACCUGGUAGGAUUAGGGUUAGUGUUCAUACAUAAUUUUAACAUCUUCCCUGUUUAUAGAUUCAGCUGUCUAGAUUGCAAGCAGAAAACAAACUUUCGGAGACUAUUGUGUAUAGAAGCAUUUUGUCUUUUGGAUCUUGUCCAUCUAUACACACUAUACAGAUAACGACUUUAACAUGCAGUUGUUUUCUUUCAGAUCUUUUCAGGUCUAAAUGCUAUGAUCAUCAGACGCUAUUAUGACCCGAGAGCAUGAACAUGAAUCUUCAUUAGUUGAACAAACUACGCUAACACGUAUAUCAGAAAUGACCGUUAGAGAUCACGAGUUUAACCGAGGGAAAGGAAGCAUACCAAAGUACGGAACAUUAAGAAAAUUGAAUGAUAUACCAAGGGGUGUUCGGCCAGUUAAGUCACUUUACAGAGUUCAUGAGUCCACUAAGACUAUAUUUUGAGCGAACUCACAAAUUAAAAUACAGCGCAACAGUUACGCUGUAUACAGUGGAUUGAAAUUGAUAAACUAUAACAAGAAAAUGUUCGGCUGCGAUUAAAUCCGUCUUCUCUGAAAAUAAACAAACAUAAUUAUGAUGUUUUCUGUUGAUUGCCACCACAAAUUUAAAUGCCAAAUCUACUGUUUUCAAUUUUGCCUUAAUAAAAUUGCUUGUGUCCAAGAUUACAUCUUUUUGGAUACCGUGCAACUUGGAUUUUGCCUUUUCCGAAGUUGUUUGUGGUAUGUCUUUUUGUUUAAAACCAUUCAAUUUUCCAACCAGAAACUUUAAACGACAAAAUUAAGCACGUGACAAAAUGAUAAGAAUUACAUUCAUGUUUCAGCAGAUGUUACACUGUAACAUAGAUAAGUUAAACAUUUUAUUUCAGUUUUACUCUCGUUGUACAUCGUCCAUGUGUUUUAGUGUUAGUAUCGAAUUAUUUAUUGUUUUGAUACACAGUAGUAUGACUUAUAAGAUAUUCAAAGACGACUAUUUAUGUUUCAGAAACAAAAUAUGAACUAUGCCGCAUGUCCGUAAAGGGGUAUUUUACAUGUAUCUAAUCACCAAUACUCAAAAGCCUUGUUUCGUAUUAUGAUCAUGUUAUAUCGACACAAGAUUGCGCAGGUGGAUAAACAACUAUUAUAACUUGUAAUGAGCUCAAAACAUUUUGAAUCAUAAUCAUAUCUUAAGACUGGGAUAUAUUUUUGUACAAUUAAUCUAGAAAUGUAACAUAAAGCGAUACGACAUUUAUGUCAUUAUGUUAUUACAUCACUGUUGUAUAUAAAUGUGUUGUGUUUUUUUUCUAUCAAAACUACCUGUACUAAUAUUUUAC